GGGGCAGCCAUUUUUUUUAAACGGAGCAGCCAUCGGAGGAGGAGCCAUCGGAGGAGCAAUUUUUACAGUAAAUACGGUGGCAGAGUGUGGAAAGCGCGGGAGGGAUAAGAGCACAAUUCUAUGUGUGGUUCCAUGGAAGUAUGUCCUGCUUUGUACAGUAGAGCUUAACUCCGUGUCCAUAGGUUACGUGAAUCAAGAAGGUACACUGAAAAUGCACUUUUUCUAUGGAUGCAUCCAGAAAUCUCUUUUCCCUAACAACUGGGUCGUGCUUUCAUUAGAGCCCCAUGCAAGAAUGCCUUCAGCUGUGACAUGCCCUAGCUUACUGCUUCUAGCCCAAACACAGAUGUUUUAGCAUGAGGAGAACAGCAACUGAUGUUCAAAAUGAGCAACAGUAGACCCAUCCCCUGUGAGAACAGGUACUUCUUUGAGAAGAUACUUCCUGUAUUGCAUUUGCAGCUGCAGUCAUUGCAGACAUUUAUAUAUGGAAGCAUCAAUAUGGCCCAAUUCAGUGGAACACUUCACACCUGCUAGAAUAAAUGAGAAUUGUGCAAAAACA